CCCUUAGAUGUUCUGGGCUGCACGCGCGCUACACUGAAGCGUUCAACGAGUAUUCACCUUGCCCGGGAGGGUUGGGUAAUCUUUUGAAAACGCUUCGUGAUGGGGAUAGAUUAUUGCAAUUAUUAAUCUUCAACGAGGAAUUCCUAGUAAGCGCGAGUCAUCAGCUCGUGCUGAUUACGUCCCUGCCCUUUGUACACACCGCCCGUCGCUCCUACCGAUUGAGCGGUCCGGUGAAGACUCAAGAGAUAUGUAGGCGCUCGGGUGACCGAACGCGUUGCGUGUCAAAUUUGUCUAAACCUUAUCGCUUAGAGGAAGGAGAAGUCGUAACA
rnacentral:rRNA from 1 species